rnacentral:siRNA from 1 species
UAGGUGUGCAUCAAGAGCAUAA